CGGGUCAUGGCGCAGCUUGGUCAGCGCGCUCGCUUUGGAAGCGAGAGGACGUCGGUUCGAAUCCGACUGGCCCGA
rnacentral:tRNA from 1 species